UCUUCCCUUAUAGGAUGUCGUGUCCAAGAUGCUCCAUGUGGAUCCUCAUCAGCGCCUGACGGCCGUUCAAGUCCUAAAACACCCGUGGAUUGUCAACAGAGAGUACCUGUCCCAAAACCAGCUCAGCAGACAAGACGUCCACCUGGUGAAGGGUGCCAUGGUCGCCACCUACCUGGCUCUGAACAGGGCUCCGCAGGCGCCGCGGCUGGAGCCCGUCCUGUCGUCCGGCCUGGCGCAGCGCAGGGGCAUGAAGAGACUCACGUCCACGAGGCUCUAGCGCGAGCGGGCCCUGCCGAGCGUCCUGGGCUGUCGGGCGCUGCCGCGGUGCCCAGGCCGGGCUCGGAGGCCCAGGUCCCUCCGCUCGUUGCACGCCUGCUCGCCAGCGGGAUUGGAUCCAGCCCGGUGACCUCCCCACGCCCUGCUGUGCCAGCCUUGCCGCCUCCUUACCCCGAGCAAAGCCAGACAGACUCAUUUCACUGCACACCACCACGCCCGAUGCCUGUAGGGUUCCUUUGGACUCCGUAGGUCUUUCACGAUCAUGGCUUGUAUUUACAGAGAGAGGGUUUUUCCCAAUGAUAAUGCCCGUAACUGGGUCAGGUUUCCGACACACGUGUCCUAGUGAUUCGGGUGGGCGGACGCGCUGACCAGCUUACGGCACAGCCUCCCCGGGCGGGGCUGGCCUCUGCGGUCUGGGGUUGCCAGAAGGACAGGGUCGGCACAUGGCACCCAGAGUAGACGCCAGGUCCCCUCCCAAUGAUCCAAAGAGCCCUUGUCCCAUCGCCCUUCUUCCUGACUGAGGUGCUGGGUGUUCUCUCUGGGUCGCGGACCCACGGGGGGAAGAGCCCAGAACCGGCAGGCGGUAUCCUCACCCGGGGAGCCUCUUUUCACAAGAAUGGUGCGUCCCUGGGGAGGAGCCAGCGAGAGCUUGUGCCCCCCGCCCUGUGUCCUUGUUCCCGCCACGGCCAGGGCUGCAGGGCUGAGGCUCCACGCUCCCGCGCUGGCUCUAGCCGUGGCCGAGGCCGCCCAGGUUCCCAGAGCGUGUUGGGCCUGGCAUCUGGCCGCGGCCUUCCGUCAGCCUCCUGUGCUUUCCAAAGCCGUGGUUUUGCUGUGUUCACCUUCCCCUCUCCGGUCCACGGGAGAUCCGUGAGCCCUGGCAACCCUGAGCUCUGUCCCUUCCUUCAAGGUGUGCUCUCAGUCCCAUGCAGCCGGGAGGGGGGCACAGGAGGCCCUGGUGCCGCCCUGGGGCCCGGAGGGGAGCCGAAAGGUGGGUUACCCAGGGUAGCCAUGCACUUUGUAGAAGCUGUGCUUUUGUGUUGCAUUUGUGUUUCUGGUUUUCACCUGAUGUUGCGGUGACAUUUAAUGUUUCCCUUGGGGCGCGUGCACACAGGAGGGGCGCGGUGCCGAGGGAGGGGGCUGUGCGCCUCUUGUUAACUGAAACCGGACAGGCUCGGCACCACUGCCUGGGCAGGAGGGGAGAGAGCGUGUGGCCUUCGGUGUCCUCCCACCGGCCCCACCGGGGGUGCCCCCAGGCCGGCCCAAGACUCCCCGCUGCCCUCGCUGGGUGUGGGGCACCUGCGGCCCUCAGCCAGAUCUCACUAAGAAGACAUAUUUCACUGUUCCCUUCAUCCCCCAUCUCAACCAACUACACCACCUCAAAAAGACAAAAAACAACAUGCGGCAUUCUGAGUAUAACUCCUUAGCUUGCUCCAGUUGUGUUCAGACCUUAAAAUGAAACCUUAUUUCAGAAGCUUUUAUAAUUCUGUGAGCCUUUCUCCCCCCUCAGAGAACCACCAGACAUAAAAGCAGGGGGGGGGGGAGAGGGGGCAGGUUCUUGAACCUGUUUCCCACAAAGCCUCAUUAGGCAUCUCCCCUAUUUUCCCCGAGGCCACAAAGGCUUGGUUCACAAUAGUUCUGUUUUAGGUCUGAAUUAUUUGAUCUAUUAUUAGAAGCUUAGGAGAAACUGGAUAGCCCUUAGGUCCCGGGUCUGCCCUCCUAGGAAGGCACCAAGGUCAUCACACCUUCCGUCUGCUGCCCAGGCCACUGCUCCAGGGUUCCCACUGCCGAGGUGUGCCGCCCGGGGGCCAGGCUGCUCGCUGUGAGUCGGAGCACGGAGGGACGUGGGCCAGAGGGGGCAGGAGCCCAGGAGCGGGCGGGGAGAGGGGACAGCGGGUGCUCCCUGCACACCACGGCUCCUGCUCGUGCACUCUCUCGGUGCCACCACGCACACAGCCCCACCUGCCACACCCCGAGAGCCGCAGAGCGACCUGGGGCUCACCUUGCACCACGUCGUGCCCUUAGCCAAGGCCAGGGUGCGGCAGUGGCCGCAGAGACCAUGCUGAACCAACUCUACUUGAAUGUCUGUGAAAUACCUCUGCUUUCUCACCUUAUCCAGAGCGCGGUGAUACUUGAAACCCUUCCACAAAGUCAGCCUAGAGACGUCGAUACCACAGUUUAAACCGAACUCCGAGGUCCAGUGGAGCAGCCAGCGGCUGAGCCUUCUAAGCAGCAGUGGGGUGCGAAGGAAGGGGUUACUUCUCAUUUGCGUCCCCUGUGGGGCGCACCCCUGCCGGCCCUGAGCGGCUCCAGGGCUUCACACAGGCAGCCAGACCACAGGGAGUCAGAUGGCUGCCCCACAGACCGCGGAACAGUCCCCCUCCCCGGAUCAUAGCCCCACAGACCGCGGAACAGUCCCACCCCCCAGGAUCAUAGCCCCACAGACCGCGGAACAGUCCCACCCCCCAGGAUCAUAGCCCCACAGACCGCAGAACAGUCCCACCCCCCAGGAUCAUAGCCCCAUAGACCGCGGAACAGUCUCCCCCCCGGGAUCAUAGCCCCACAGACCGCGGAACAGUCCCCCCCCCGGGAUCAUAGCCCCACAGACCGCGGAACAGUCCCACCCCGCAGGAUCAUAGCCCCACAGACCGCAAACAGUCCCACCCCCCAGGAUCAUAGCCCCACAGACCGUGGAACAGUCCCCCCCCAGAUCAUAGCCCCACAGACCGUGGAACAGUCCCCCCUACCCCCCGGAUCAUAGCCCCACAGACCGUGGACCCAUCCCCCCUCUGGAUCAUAGCCCACAGACUCUUGUGAGAAAACCGAGCCCUGGUCCUUGGGCCUCCUCCCCCACUGCCCCACGGUCCCCCCAGGGAGCCCACUGUGGUCUCGCCCCACCUGCAGGCCCCCCUGUUUGACAGGAACACCGACUCACCCCACCAGAGUGAGGGCUCUGCCAGAUGCCGCCCCCAAGUCAAAUUUGGGCAAGAGUGAGAUUUCACCUGUAUCCUUAGGUCAGAUUGUCCAUGAUUUUAAUCUAACUUUGUGUGUCUUGAUGCCUGGAAGAUUGUCCAGCAUUUUAAGUGAUAAUAGUACUUAACGUUAGCCGGUAUUGUUCAUUCAAUGGUGUUACUCCUAAAGCCACACCUUGGGACUGUUGCCUCACACUUGACUGAUUCUCUCAAGCACAUGACGAACUUGAUUUGCACUCUUUUUUUCUUUCCAAAUGGUUUUGUUGCCCUUCACCUCUCCAAGAGUCCUUAAAAUUCUAGAAUGGAAAAGGACACUGCAGGUCCCUGGGUGGAGAGAAGACGUGGGUUCGCAGAGCUCGGGAGGAAACCCGGGAGACUCGAACUCGCCACCGCUGGUCGCCUGUGGAGCACGCUUCCAACCCAGACCCCGACUCAGCACUUUGUUUACAAGCCCGCAUCUGUGUUUACAGGUCAUUCUUAUGUUCACGCUUUGUAUUUUAUGUUUGAGAUGGGCGGCCACUAUACAGAUAUUUAUUACGCUUUCCAGACUUUCUGAAUAGAUUUUUUGAAUAAACAUGGGUUUUAUGAAGUGUAA